GUUAACAUUGAAAUAUUUAAAUUUAAAUCAAAUGUACAAAAUAAAAUUUUAUCACAAAAAAAGAACUAUUGGGUUUUGUUAUUAAAGAUUUUAAAUAAGAGUGUUAUGGCAUCAUUCUUUAUGGGCGAUUUGGUGAAUUUAAGAAAUUUACAGCCAUAAUGAGGUCAUUCCGUGGUCAAAUGAAAGUGUAUGCGAUGAGGCAAACUAAACAUCCCUGUUUUUAAACCUCAAAAACUAAAGGCUUCAUGGCAAUGUUUUCGAACUUGGAAAAUAAAUUAAAACAUCUUUUUUUAUACAUAAAUUAAGAUAAAACGAAAAUAAUUAUAAAUAUAACAAAAUCAAAGCUUUUGGGUGUGGGUAUUUUA
rnacentral:sRNA from 1 species